rnacentral:rRNA from 1 species
UACGAACUGUGCGAACGUUAUUCGGAAUCACUGGGCUUACAGGGUGCGUAGGCGGCUUGUUAAGUAGGGUGUGAAAGCCCCCGGCUCAACCGGGGAAUGGCGCCCUAAACUGGCGAGCUAGAGUGAGAUAGGGGUGUGUGGAACUUCCGGUGGAGCGGUGAAAUGUGUUGAUAUCGGAAGGAACGCCGGUGGCGAAAGCGACACACUGGAUCUUGUCUGACGCUGAGGCACGAAAGCGUGGGGAGCAAAUAGG